rnacentral:lncRNA from 1 species
UCAUACCAACCCUAUCAUAUUGUAUCAAUAAAUACUAGUAUGAUAUCAAGGUUCGAUUAGAUAUAUGAGCCAAACUAAUCAAUACCCAUCUAAACCGAGCAGAACUGCCUCGUGAUACCUAGUUUGGGGCAGUACCGAGGAAGAAGUGUUGGAUUCCUAUUUCGGUACAAGAUGUGUAUCAUACCAUAUCAACUAUACUAUACCAAAUUUAUAACAUAACAACAUUGUACUCC